rnacentral:rRNA from 2 species
GGAAGUAAAAGUCGUAACAAGGUCUCCGUUGGUGAACCAGCGGAGGGAUCAUUACCGAGUUUACAACUCCCAAACCCCUGUGAACAUACCACUUGUUGCCUCGGCGGAUCAGCCCGCUCCCGGUAAAACGGGACGGCCCGCCAGAGGACCCCUAAACUCUGUUUCUAUAUGUAACUUCUGAGUAAAACCAUAAAUAAAUCAAAACUUUCAACAACGGAUCUCUUGGUUCUGGCAUCGAUGAAGAACGCAGCAAAAUGCGAUAAGUAAUGUGAAUUGCAGAAUUCAGUGAAUCAUCGAAUCUUUGAACGCACAUUGCGCCCGCCAGUAUUCUGGCGGGCAUGCCUGUUCGAGCGUCAUUUCAACCCUCAAGCACAGCUUGGUGUUGGGACUCGCGUUAAUUCGCGUUCCCCAAAUUGAUUGGCGGUCACGUCGAGCUUCCAUAGCGUAGUAGUAAAACCCUCGUUACUGGUAAUCGUCGCGGCCACGCCGUUAAACCCCAACUUCUGAAUGUUGACCUCGGAUCAGGUAGGAAUACCCGCUGAACUUAAGCAUAUCAAUAAGCGGAGGA